UAAAAAUAAAAUAAAAUAAAAUAUAUAAUUAAGCAGCAUCCAUUACAGCAUUGAACACAAUAAGCAGGACAGUAUACGUAUUCAAUUAUCAACAUUACAUAUUUUAGAGGAGACAAGGGAUAUGCAAGGAUAUGUGCCUAAGGAUCUAAGAGUCCAAAUCCCAUCACCAAAAAUGAAAGCCACAAAGACAUCCAGGGUGAUCUACAUGAGCUCUACAAAUGCUUUGAUUAGGGUUUUCUUCCGAGUUAGAGAUUUAGAUGAGCCUUCAAAUGCAGAAAGGUUAAAGGUGAAACCAAAAUGACCAGGAGAUAGUUGAAAAGUCUUUGAGUUGGGGCGAGGUAGGGGAAGACCAUAGACUCAGGAACAGUGACAUGUAAAUUAAUAUCAGUGAAGUCUUUUAUCUAUAGAACAAUUUGCCAUGAUAGCAUAAAAGAAGAGAAAAUCUUUCCAUUGAAAUUUAUAAGGAAUAGAAAGAAAACAAUUAUGCAGUGAAUGUAUGUGUAACCAAAUCAUUAAAAGAAGAAAUUACAGCAACCAUUUGAAGCCGUGACUUAUUUUGUAAAUACAUUGAUAUCUUAAGUGUAUAAAAGAUAACAGAUACGAAUUCAAUAAAGGAAAUGUAAGAAUGAAAUUCGCACCAUCCAG
rnacentral:misc_RNA from 1 species